GACGAACGCUGGCGGCGUGCUUAACACAUGCAAGUCGAACGGAAAGGCCCAGAUUGCUGGGUGCUCGAGUGGCGAACGGGGGAGUAACACGUGGGUGAUCUGCCCCUAAAUUCGGGAUAAGAUUGGGAAACUGGGUCUAAUACCGGAUAGGACAAUGGUUUAGUGUCGGUUGUGGAAAGUUUUUUCGGUUAGGGAUGAGACCGCGGCCUAUCAGCUUGUUGGUGGGGUAAUGGCCUACCAAGGCGUCGACGGGUAGCCGGCCUGAGAGAGUGGACGGCCACAUUUUAACUGAGAUACGUCCCAGACUCCUACCGGACACAGCAGUGAGGAAUAUUGCACAAUGGUCGCAAGCCUGAUGCAGCGACUCCUCGUGGGGGAUGACGGCCUUCGGGUUGUAAACCUCUUUCGACAGGGACGAAGCUUUUGUAACGGUACCUGUAUAAGAAGCACCGGCUAACUACGUG
rnacentral:rRNA from 1 species